rnacentral:rRNA from 1 species
UACAGAGGGUGCAAGCGUUAAUCGGAAUUACUGGGCGUAAAGCGUGCGUAGACGGUUAUGUAAGUCAGAUGUGAAAGCCCCGGGCUCAACCUGGGAAUGGCAUUUGAGACUGCAUAGCUAGGAUGCGGAAGAGGGAAGUGGAAUUUCCGGUGUGAGCGGUGAAAUGCGUAGAUAUCGGAAGGAACAUCAGUGGCGAAAGCGACUUCCGUGGUCCAGCAUCGACGUU